UUAGGAGUGCCAGAUGAGAUGGGUUUGAUUUAGGAUUAGAUGAUGGCUGUUUCCGCCCUCUUGUG